UCUCUUUUCGUCUUUCGUCUUUCUUCUUCUUUCUUUUCCGUUCUUCUCCUCCCUGUUCUUUCUCUUUCUCUUUUUUGUCGAUCUCAAUUUGAAUAAUUGAGUUUGUUAUCAUUAGAGAAUUCAUAUAAACGUGUUAGUAAGUUGAAUCGAAGGAGUAUGUGAUUGUAUUGUGGUUGAUUGAGCUCUGGAAGGAGGAGUUUAAGUUGAAUUAAGCUCGGGAAGGAGGAGUUUAAGCUGAUGUUGCUGAAUCAAAUUAGGUCUUGUUCUUGUGAUAAAGAAAUCUAUAAAGGUUGUUGAAUCUCUUGAGGGUUUGGUGAUUAUGGUGGUGUUGAUUCGAGGAAUUGAUUCAAUCUCAGAGGAACGUUAGUCUUUAUUAACAACGAUUGAAUCAAAGGAUGAACUAGUGGAUUGAGGAUCUCGAGGUAGGCGUGGCUUGUCAUCAAAUCAGUUUCAGUUACACGAAGAAAUGGUGAACAUGAAGAUAUCUGUGUUUGUAGCUUAAAUUUUUAGCGAACUGAAGAUGUUUGUCUAUCUUUAUGUAGGUAUUCUUUAUUUCUUUGUAAAACAACACAUUAUUAUAUUCUUAACACUCGAGAGAUUUAUCAUUUCUAUAAUAUCAGAGAGUUUGGGUUUUGUUAUUAACACUUUAUGUAACUAUGAUUCUUAAAAUCGGUAAUCUAGAUUUGAUGCUUUGAUUAGGAUGUAAUCAUUUUAGCUAAGCAGGUGAUUAGGUUGGGGCGUCACAGGUUGGUGUCAGAGCUCACUAUUAGAUCUUACAUGGGCAACAAUAGAUAAUAGAUAAUACCUGUUAGUGAACUAGAUUAGUUUAGAAUUCGGAUGGGUUGCGAGAUAAAUCAUAAUCACUAAAAGCUAUCAAUAACUAAAAGAUUUAUUUGGUUGAUUGGUUUGUUUGUUUAGUUGCGUGUACUUUUUAUGAAGUAAAAAUUGUAGGAUAAAUCAAUUACGUACAUUAUAGGUUAGAAGCUGAUAGAGAUUAGAGAGUAAUUAGCGUAGAAUUAUGAACACAUAGUCAAUCCAAUAAUGAAGAGUUCGAGAGAUUAGUAUACUUGAUAAAUUCUGAAAUUUAUAUAGAAAACUUAUUGAGUACCUUGACUUAUUCGUAGGGCUAUCGAUUUAUUUAGAUGGAAAAUUAAUGGGAAGAAUAUAGCUUUAAUUAUUUGUUAGUUCUUAAAUUAGUAUAGCUUAGGUCGAAAAUUUUGUUUAUAGAUCACAGAUUUAUAUAAGAGACUUUAUUAUAUAGUAUCAUCUAAUGUGCUUAAAUAACAAUAAUCUAUUGAAACAUAUAUUAGUCUACUGAACCUAAAGCCAUAAACUAAAGAUUCUAGUUGUAGAAAUGCCAUAUAGGUUUAUGUUUCAUUUCUUGUUGCCAUGAACUCAUUUGGAAUGAGUUAGUUUUCGCGCGUUUGUAAGUAUGAGCAAUGCUUGCAUGUAGUCGAUAGUUAGUAAUUCUUUAUAAGGUGGGGAAUUUUGAAGAUUAUGGUGGGUCGAUUUUCGAGGACGAAAAUGUAUAAGGUGGGGAGAAUGUAAGGACCCUCAAGCUCGUCAACGCUAUUAGACCAGUCAAGAGACGACUAAG